GGGUAACGGGGAAUUAGGGUUCGAUUCCGGAGAGGGAGCCUGAGAAACGGCUACCACAUCCAAGGAAGGCAGCAGGCGCGCAAAUUACCCAAUCCCGACACGGGGAGGUAGUGACAAUAAAUAACAACACAGGGCUCUUUCGGGUCUUGUUAUUGGAAUGAGUACGAUUUAAAUCUCCUAACGAGGAACAAUUGGAGGGCAAGUCUGGUGCCAGCAGCCGCGGUAAUUCCAGCUCCAAUAGCGUAUAUUAAAGUUGUUGCAGUUAAAAAGCUCGUAGUUGAACUUCAGGCCUGGCUGGACGGUCCGCCUUCCGGGUGAGUACUGUCUGUGGUCGGGUCCUACCUUCUGGCGAAGCGUCAUGGCCUUAACCGGCCGUGGCGGGGAACCAGGACUUUUACUGUGAAAAAAUUAGAGUGUUCAAAGCAGGCAAUUCGCUUGGAUACAUUAGCAUGGAAUAAUGGAAUAGGACAAUUGUUCUAUUUGUUGGUUUCUAGGGCUGUUGUAAUGAUUAAUAGGGAUAGUUGGGGGCAUUAGGAUUCAAUUGUCAGUGGUGAAAUUCUUGGAUUUAUUGAAGACUAACUACUGCGAAAGCAUUUGCCAAGGAUGUUUUCAUUAAUCAAGAACGAAAGUUAGGGGAUCGAAGACGAUCAGAUACC
rnacentral:rRNA from 1 species